UCUUUGACAACAUCAGAAAUAAAUUCAUCUGAGUUAUUCUAUUUGAACUGUAUUUUGCAGUUUAAACAAAUCUUUUUAUAGAAUCUACAUAAACAAUACAACGGGAACGGGUUUUUAAAUUAUGAUCCUCGUAUAAUCUGAGAGAACACUAACUUCAGUCAGUCGUCAGAUAUAUCAAUAUAUGUAAGACAUGAUAAUAUGCAGAAGGCCACUGGUGCCCCUAUAAUUAUAUUUCUUGCACAAAAAGGUUUUUUUCCAGAGUCGAUUUUCGCCCCUUAAAAAACUUCAGGGUAUGCAGCUGCAAUGCCCCUGCCCACGCCUAUGGGUAACAUAAAUCAAAAUUGAUGAAGAUUUGAACUUCAAAAUCUCUAUUUAUUGGUAGGUAUCUCACUAUCUCAUACCAAUUGCAUAUUUGCAUUUAUCAAUAGUGAAGAGUCAGUAAAUUACGAUUGAUUUACGAUUUACUUACACUCCUCACUUCAUAGAGUAUUUAAAUGUGAUUUUACUUUUGUUUUAUUUUUGGAAGCUUUAAGGAAAACAAUUGAAUUGUGUUACUCGUGGCAGUGGAAAAUUAACUAAAUAAUAUAUAUGAUGUACGAAAAAAAUAUCCCUAAGGAAAUCAAGUGGAUAAAAAAAUCUGACAUAAAAAUAAUUUCAUGUAUGAAGGGUUUUGACCAACAUUUUAAUGCGUUUCAGCAAAUAGUCUGUUUAGGUAUACUAUACAGACAUAUAGAUAUUGAGCAAAAUAUAAUAAAUUAUUAUGCUUUUUCAUCCUUCUAUUGUUUACUUAUGAGCUAUGACCUACCACCUACGUAUUUAGCCAUUCACAUUUCACCCAAUUUAUAUUUUGUUCCGCUUUAAUAAUUCUUAAUGAAUGGAUUUUGUUGUUAACCUGGAUUACCGCUGAUUACUCACUGAAAAACAUUAUUAUUUAUGAUCGUCGUAUAAAAUGUAUGAAAUUGUUUAACUUGCCUUAUUUAAAACCAAUGACCAAUCAAUGGCGUAGAUACAUUUUUCAUUUGGAAAGGAUACUUAUUUUAUAAUUAAUUUAUUUGAAAUUAUUAAAAAAUUUAAAAUGUAUGGUUAUAAUUAGAAUUCAUUGAUGAUUUUAUUACCUACCAGGCGCAAACGAAGGAAAAAAUUUCGCGAGUUUCUGAAAAAAUGCACAUAAUUAUCAUACUAUUAAUUUGUAGGACAGGUAAUUUAUUUUUUGUUCCUCAUAUUUCGGAGGGGGUUUAAACACCCAAAACCCCCUGCAUUCGCGCCUGUUACCUACUCAUAGUAUGUAUCAACAAUCAAUAGCUUAGGUUUUAAUAAAAAAUAAAAAUA